rnacentral:sRNA from 1 species
AUAUGAUUGUUCUAAAGAUGGAAACCUU